rnacentral:pre_miRNA from 1 species
AUCACCCAUGUUUCUUGUUAAAAUGCAGAAUCUGAUUCAGUAGUUCUGAGAUGAGGUCUGGGAUUCUGCAUUUCUAACAAGCUCUAAGGUGAUGCUGA